rnacentral:rRNA from 1 species
UACGUAGGGUGCGAGCGUUAAUCGGAAUUACUGGGCGUAAAGCGUGCGCAGGCGGUUCGUUAAGUCAGAUGUGAAAGCCCCGAGCUCAACUUGGGAACUGCAUUUGAAACUGGCGGGCUGGAGUGUGGCAGAGGGGGGUGGAAUUCCACGUGUAGCAGUGAAAUGCGUAGAUAUGCGGAGGAACACCGAUGGCGAAGGCAAUCCCCUGGACCUGUACUGACGCUCAUGCACGAAAGCGUGGGGAGCAAACAGG